UAAGCAUAUCAAUAAGCGGAGGAAAAGAAACCAACAGGGAUUGCCCUAGUAACGGCGAGUGAAGCGGCAACAGCUCAAAUUUGAAAUCUGGCGCAAGCCCGAGUUGUAAUUUGUAGAGGAUGCUUCUGGGUAGCGACCGGUCUAAGUUCCUUGGAACAGGACGUCAUAGAGGGUGAGAAUCCCGUAUGUGACCGGCCCGCACCCUUUACGUAGCUCCUUCGACGAGUCGAGUUGUUUGGGAAUGCAGCUCUAAAUGGGAGGUAAAUUUCUUCUAAAGCUAAAUACCGGCCAGAGACCGAUAGCGCACAAGUAGAGUGAUCGAAAGAUGAAAAGUACUUUGGAAAGAGAGUUAAAAAGCACGUGAAAUUGUUGAAAGGGAAGCGCCUGCAAUCAGACUUCGCGGCAGUGUUCCGCCGGUCUUCUGACCGGUCUACUCUCUGUCGCGAGGCCAUCAUCGUCUCGGCCCGCUGGAUAAGACCUUGGGAAUGUAGCUCACCUUCGGGGGAGUGUUAUAGCUCACGGUGAUGCAGCGAGGCUGGGGCGAGGUCCGCGCCUCGGCAAGGAUGAUGGCGUAAUGGUUGUCGGCGGCCCGUCUUGAAACACGGACCAAGGAGUCUAACAUCUAUGCGAGUGUUCGGGUGUCAAACCCCUACGCGUAAUGAAAGUGAACGGAGGUGGGAACCGCAAGGUGCACCAUCGACCGAUCCUGAUGUCCUCGGAUGGAUUUGAGUAAGAGCAUAGCUGUUGGGACCCGAAAGAUGGUGAACUAUGCCUGAAUAGGGUGAAGCCAGAGGAAACUCUGGUGGAGGCUCGCAGCGGUUCUGACGUGCAAAUCGAUCGUCAAAUUUGGGUAUAGGGGCGAAAGACUAAUCGAACCAU
rnacentral:rRNA from 1 species